rnacentral:rRNA from 1 species
GAAAGAUGAAAAGAACUUUGAAAAGAAAGUCAAACAGUACGUGAAAUUGUUGAAAGGGAAACGAUUGAAGCCAGUCGUACCGAUGGGAAUUCAACUUCUCGAGUGCUAAUCGUGGGUGACGUUGAGCUUCACGGCCUUCGUUGCUUGUGUUGUUGGUGCUUUUGGGGUGUACUUUUCCGUAUGGUAGGUCAGCAUCGAUUUCGAUCGUCAUAAAAUGAUUGGGGGAAUGUAGCUUCGGUCUCGUAUCGGAGUGUUAUA